AUCUGUUUUUGUCAAUGGGCUGGAUUUACCCUUUGCUUUAUAGGGUAAAGUACAGACGUGAUGAACCUGAGGGUAAACCUGGUGUGAGAGCGUAGCGCAGCCUCUUCCCGACUCGGACAAAUUGUGCGAACAGCACCUUUCUGCCUUUAUUUGAAUUUUAUAGAGCGAUUCCGUCACACGUUUUUGUGAAUUUGACUUCCGACUCGAUUUAGCCAUUUAUAAGUUAAAGAGUAAUUCUAAACAAAUAAUACCAUUCAUGAAAAUGUUACAGAAGAGAUCAAAGUCACAGAGGCCAGCACUUGCUAUGCCACUUUGUCAAACUUUGAUCCACCGCAUAAGUGGGUGUUAAUGGUAUCACAUGAGUUUAUUCAUUGUUUCUCAAGUACUGUCCCAACGUAUUGGGGCAGUAUAUUCUCUCUGAUCGGUAACAAGGCGCAAUUGACAGGUGAUUGGGACCUGGAGCCACUGUUCUCUCCGCGCCUCUAUACCAGCACAGCAAUCAGCAAGUAUGCGCGAGAUCUCCCACCCAACAGCUUCCCUUGCAGAAAGAAGCGUCUAUUCCAAAAGAUGAAUUCCAAAGGCCUCAACAGACUCCUGAACUGGACUGUACAGAAUACCCCUCCAGUGACAGGUCAGAGGUCAGCCCUUCCUGAUCUGCAGUCUGCACUAAUCUCAGCAUUUAGAGAACAUGAACAUGGCUGUUUUGGUGAUGGAAAAAUUAGGCCUACACUGUGUCCUGAUCUUCAUUAGCCAGAAACUUCAGAGCUGCCCCUGCAGACUGUCUUUUUUCACAGAACCACACAGAUAUUAGUCUGCACAUGCUCAUAAUGGUCAGAUAUUAGUUUGUACAUGCUCAGAAUGGUUAGAUAUUAGUUUGCACAUGCUCAGAAUGGUCAGAUAUUAGUCUGCACAUGCUCAGAAUGGUCAGAUAUUAGUCUGCACAUGCUCAUAAUGGUCAGAUAUUAGUUUGCACAUGCUCAGAAUGGUCAGAUAUUAGUUUGCAAAUGCUCAGAAUGGUCAGAUAUUAGUUUGCACACACUCAUAAUGGUCUUACUCCUGGUGGGGUCCCCCCAAUACAUACUACUGCCACUUUACCCACUGUCUGUUAUAUUGCAAAUUCCCUAAUUGCCGUUUCUACCCCACACUGCCAGCGGGGCUCUUGCUCCAAUCUUCGAGAGUGCUGUCGUCUGGUCUCCCCCCACCACUGCGGUCCAGCCCCUCUUUCGUCAUUGCCUCCACCCUGCUCACUUCCGUCGCCACCUGCUGUUCCCCACCACCCGGCCCCACCCAUCAUCUGAGCCACAUCACAUAUCAUAUCUUGUGCAUAAACUGGCUGACAUGCUGGUCACCAGUCGGCACCCUGAGCCGACCAGAGGAGGAUGGGUUUCCCCCUUGAGCCUGGUUCCUUCCAAGGCUUCUUCCCAUCUGCCACAGGGAGUUUUUCCUUGCCACUGUUGCCUUAGGCUUGCUCCUGUGGGGGGUUUAGGCCAGGGUUGUCUGUAAAGCGUAUUGUGACAACUGCUGUUAAAUAUAUUAUACAA